rnacentral:lncRNA from 1 species
ACCUUGCACUAUUAUUUUUUUAGACAUGGCAACUCUAUCAUAGAGGUUCUGAAGAGUCCCCACAUCUCCUUCCCUGCCUUCUGUAGCUUAACUUGCAUUUUCUCAAUCAUGCACACAUCGACCUGGGCAUCACAUGCUCACUCUUUAAAGGAUGAUGGCUGGAACAUUGGGAAACCCUCAAUCCAGAUGUCAGUCCAAUGUGAUGAUGUGAUUUUUAUUAGUUACUGCUUGUUACCCUUUGGGUGUGCUUUGUUCAUGUGGUGGAAGCCUACCUAUUCAGUGUGGCCAGGAAGAGGUAGUGGGAUCUUUAAGAAAUAGGCUUUCAAAGGUGGUCAUGACACAAACCUUUAAUCCCAGCACUUUGCAGAGGCAGGCAAAUCUCUGCGUUCAAGGUCAGCCUGGACUACAGAGUGGGUUCCAGGACAGCUAGGGCCACACAUGGAGACCCUGUCUCAAAAUAUAAAACCAAAAUCAAAACCAAACCAAACCAAACCAAAAAAAAAAAAAAAAAGAAGUAGGAUAUCACGAGAAGCUGUUAGAUCAUUGAAGGCACUGCCCUUGGAUGGGAUAUGACAAUUCCUAUGGACUCUGGGUUACUUCUAGUGACAGUGAGUUAUCGUAAGAGCAAGGCCAACCUCUGAUCACCUAAAUUGCUUCCUGUCUGGGGGUGCCAUCUCCUUUCUUCAGAAGUAGAAUCAUUGUUUUGGUGGUGAUUUCCAAGGGAACUCACCAGAGCUGAUCUGAAGUCAGAACCAGUGUUGUAUGACAUUGCUCCCAGGGACAUGAAGAAACAUCUACUGUCACUACAUAUGGAACCAACAAAGGCCAAAGUAAGGGUAUCACCAAAGUCCAACUGGUAAGUCCAAUAGGAUAUUUUUGGGGGGUGUUGCUUACAGGAAUAUGGGUGAGGGGUUAAUACAGGAGCAGAAGCAACUCAAAGACAGCAGCACCACCAAUCACACCCCAGAAUGGGUGACAGAUCAUGGUCAUUGGAGUCCUGGAGGAUACUGCACAAACAACCUCAGACAGUUCUCCAUUUGUUGAGUAUUCUUUCUAGGUGGUUCAGUUGGUCUGAGUCUCUUCCAGCCAGCUUGGCUGGACUUCGUUAUUUCCAGAGAGCUCUGCUUCUCUGCUUCUCUCAUAGUCCUCACUGCCAGAGGGAGGAACCUAGUGAAUCUGUUGAAUUUUAGGGAUUUCCUGAAGCCUUUGAUUUGCUUGUUUCCUGAGCUUAAUGAGCUUUCCUGGAAGAUGGCAUGUUUCAUCUUCCCUAAAAACAUCCUAUGACUUCAAGAGCUUCCUUCCAAGAUAAAAGCUGGCUACAGAGGAACUUGUUAUGCUCUGGAUUCUCCAGAACUCUCUCUCUCUCUCUCUCUCUCUCUCUCUCUCUCUCUCUCUCUCUCUCUCUCUCUCCUUGAAUUUAAAUGCUAAUAAUAAUCCUUUAAAAGCACACUCUUAAUGUUUGGUGCCACUUGUCAAAGAGCACACAGAUGUGAGAUGAGGUUCCUCUCAGAUUAAGUCUACACUCAUGGAUUGGUUUCUUGGUGCUCUGGUGAAGGUGGCUACUCAAAAGCUUGACUUAAUAUUUUCUAAUAUUACCAGGCCAACUGAUAGCACUACAAGUGUCCAGCCACCAAAGAAAUGGGACGUCAACGUGGUAGAAUAGAAACUGAAACAUGAAGAACUGGCAGAUUUUAGAUUGAGUCUUGGCUAUUCAUCUCAACUUUCUGUGAGAGCCUAUACAGUUCAUUUAUCCUUCAUGACUCCCGGUUUUAUUUUCAGUAAAAUGGGGAUAUUAAGGUAACUGUAGGGCAAGAAAGUAGGUGUAGAAAUAAUUUGUAAACUUCAACUACUAUCCAGAUGUUAGUAGUGGUUCUUGAUGAUGAUAAUGUGAGAGAUGAUGGUCCAGAAAAAAUUAUAGUCAGUAAUAUAUAUGUAUGCAUAUAUGUAUAUAUAAUAUACUCGUAUACAUUAUGUUAAUAUUAUAUACAGCAAUGCUAGAAGUUGAAUUUCUAGCUAGCUAAUUACAUGUAUUUUAGAGACUUUUUUAUAGAAAAGACUCACUUUUAUUUAUUUUUUAAAUACAACAAAAUAAAACAUAAUAAAAUAAACCAAAACUAUGACAUCAAAGUUGAAGAUAAACC